CCAGUUUCCCUAGUGUCUGUGUCCACAUGUCUCCCAGUGUCCUUAUGUCUCAGUGUGUCCCAUUGUCCCCUAGUGUCCCAAUGUCUCACAGUGUUCCCAUGUCUCUUAAGUGUCCCCUAGUGUCCAAGGGACAUGAGGGGGCACUGGGAGACAUGGGGUAUUGAGACAUUGUGAUACAUAGGGACACUGUCAUACGUAGAAG